UACGUAGGGGGCAAGCGUUGUCCGGAAUCAUUGGGCGUAAAGCGCGUGUAGGCGGCUCGGUAAGUCUGCUCUGAAAGCCCGGGGCUCAACCCUGGGAGGCGGGUGGAUACUGCUGGGCUCGAGUCCGGAAGAGGCGAGUGGAAUUCCUGGUGUAGCGGUGAAAUGCGCAGAUAUCAGGAGGAACACCAAUGGCGAAGGCAGCUCGCUGGGACGGUACUGACGCUGAGACGCGAAAGCGUGGGGAGCAAACAGG
rnacentral:rRNA from 1 species